UUUUUUCGCCUCAUAUAUCUCAGAUUGGGUGCUGGAGAAAUGAGCAACCUGGAAACGCCAGUGGGCACAGACCAAAAGAAAAUUCUAAUCAAACACCACAGGAAAAACUGCAACCUCAUUUCUACCCAUCUCCCUCCCAGCCAGAGGAACACGGGCUCCCGCCUUGACCACAAGUAACGAGAGAGGUGCUAGCUUAUUUUCUGCUGGGAUUCCCCCCUCGGAGGAAGGUCUGCCCUCAGCCGGCACUCAGGAUGCCUUCACUGAUUCAGAUCAUGAUGGUGACGGAUACUAUCCAGGCACUUCUCUGGAUCUGGACGGUGCCUGGAAAGCUGACCUGCAUAGCAAGCUCCCUUGCCCUACUGCUUAGGGUUGGUUCCAGCCAACGGGGAGCCACAGAGAGACUCUGCAGGGCCAGGGAGGGCCUGCACAGAACUGCAUCCAUCCUCCUGCCCCUUUAGGCCUGGAGUGAUCAUCACUUGCUAUGUGGCCAGCCCAGGGUGCUUCACUGCCCCACAGGGUAUGGGGGUUUCCCAUAACCCUGCCCUCGACUUGGUGAAUGAGCCAUCCAGUCAAACUCUGCUCAACUUCCAUCUGUGUGUCUCACCUCUUUCCCGCUAGGAUCCUGACAUCCAAUGACUCAUAUCUUCUUCAGAAGGACAUUUAGCCCAUUUGACAAUAAAAAUUGAAUUGUCAUUA